rnacentral:rRNA from 1 species
UACGUAGGGUGCGAGCGUUAUUCGGAAUUACUGGGCGUAAAGCGUGCGCAGGCGGUUCGUUGUGUCGGCGGUGAAAGCCCCGGGCUUAACCUGGGAAUGGCCGUUGAGACUGGCGGACUCGAGUGUGGCAGAGGGGGGUGGAAUUCCGCGUGUAGCAGUGAAAUGCGUAGAGAUGCGGAGGAACACCGAUGGCGAAGGCAGCCCCCUGGGCUAACACUGACGCUCAGGCACGAAAGCGUGGGGAGCAAACAGG